rnacentral:lncRNA from 1 species
CUCGUUUGCAAACUGCUUCACUUCUGAGAGACCAGGGCCCUUUCCAGUAGCUUUAGGGAUGCUGUCCAUGACCCAAACUUGGAGGAGGACAAGUGAAUGCAUCUCAUAAAGGAGAAGUUGCCUUGCUGAAGUGCCCGCUCUGAAUGAAGAAGAACUGGGUCCUGCAGUCUGUCCACAGGAAGAAGACUGUCUGUGAGCACAGUCUCCAUGUUCACUGUCUCAUGCCGUCCCUGAUAUCAUGGAGGAAAUGAAUGGUCAUUUAAGAAUCCUCAUUGGCUAAAGAGCUGGUGGUUUAAAUGAAUGAAUCUAAUGCAAACUGUGAAGGGCUGGUCCUGGUAUUAAGAAGAUGGACGAUUCUGUGAAGGGAAUGUGCUAAGACUUGUUUGUUGAAAAUGGAAUUAUUAAUGGCUUGUCAGUAAAGUUAAGAAUGCCUUAAAUCAUUCCUCUCUUACUCUAUUCAUAGAAGAAAUAAAACAGAUGAAUUUAUAAAGGGUU